AGUGAACGCUGGCGGUAGGCCUAACACAUGCAAGUCGAACGGCAGCACAGAGGAGCUUGCUCCUUGGGUGGCGAGUGGCGGACGGGUGAGGAAUACAUCGGAAUCUACCUUUUCGUGGGGGAUAACGUAGGGAAACUUACGCUAAUACCGCAUACGACCUUCGGGUGAAAGCCGGGGACCUUCGGGCCUGGCGCGGAUAGAUGAGCCGAUGUCGGAUUAGCUAGUUGGCGGGGUAAAGGCCCACCAAGGCGACGAUCCGUAGCUGGUCUGGGAGGAUGAUCAGCCACACUGGAACUGAGACACGGUCCAGACUCCGACGGGAGGCAGCAGUGGGGAAUAUUGGACAAUGGGCGCAAGCCUGAUCCAGCCAUACCGCGUGGGUGAAGAAGGCCUUCGGGUUGUAAAGCCCUUUUGUUGGGAAAGAAAUCCUGUCGGUUAAUACCCGGUAGGGAUGACGGUACCCAAAGAAUAAGCACCGGCUAACUUCGUGCCAGCCGCCGCCGUAACAC
rnacentral:rRNA from 1 species